ACACUUAGUACGUGAGGAUUUGAGUACCGGAUCGACGUACAAAUUACCCCUAGAAGUAGGGUUUUCGAAUAGGUCUAAUGUAGUAUCAACUCACAAAGUUAUCAGGUUUAUAUACAGCUUUAUCAACUAAUAAAGAUGUUGUUGCAUGACUAAUGUCAUAUCAUGGCUUGACCACGGUAUCCAGUAAAAAUUAUUUUGCUGAGUAUCGUAGUAAAAGUUAGGAUAUAAUGUUAAGACUUUUUUUGAGUCGUGCAGCAAUAUUAACAGCAAACUAAUACAAAU
rnacentral:misc_RNA from 1 species